UACGGAGGAUGCAAGCGUUAUCCGGAGUUACUGGGCGUAAAGCGCGGGCAGGCGGCUCGAAACGUCUGAUGUGAAAUCUCCUCGCUCAACGGGGAGAGGCCAUUGGAAACGGUCGAGCUGGAGGGCAGUAGAGGUAGGCGGAAUUCCGGGUGGAGUGGUGAAAUGCGUAGAGAUCCGGAGGAACACCAGAGGCGAAGGCGGCCUACUGGGCUGCACCUGACGCUGAGCCGCGAAAGCCAGGGGAGCGAACGGG
rnacentral:rRNA from 1 species